rnacentral:rRNA from 1 species
GUUGAUUUUGCAGGAGAUUGCUGCUAUCAGGGUUCGACUAAGCCAUGCAAGUUAUGGGGCCUUCGGGCACCGGUAAAUUGCUCAGUAACACGUUGAUAAUUUGCCCUUAGGUUUGGAAUAAUUUCGGGAAACUGAGGCUAAGACCGGAUAGAAAACUUGUUCUGGAAAGAAUUGUUUUCUAAAGGUAAUGCCUAAGGAUGAGUCAGCGGUCGAUUAGGUUGUUGGUGGGGUAAAGGCCCACCAAAUUGAUGAUCGAUAGGGGCCUUGGAAGAGGGAGCCCCGAGAAGGGAACUGAGAUACCGUCCCUAGUUUUAUGGGGUGCAGCAGGCGCGAAACCUCUAUAAUGCAUUAAAGUGUGAUAGGGGGACCCUGAGUGCUCAGCUGUGCUGGGCUUUUGUUAAGAGUAAAAAUCUUGGCGAAUAAGUGGUGGGUAAGACAGGUGCUAGCCGUUGUGGUAACACCUGCGCCACAAGUGGCAAUCGUUAUUAUUGGGCCUAAAGCGUCCGUAGCAGGUCUGGUAAAUCUUUUGUGAAAUUUCGUGUUUAAUGCGACAGCGUGCAAGAGACACUGCCAGACUCGGGACCGGGAGGAGCUAGAGGUAUUUCGUGGGGAGCGGUAAAAUGCUAUAAUCCACGAAGGAUCAUUUAUGGUGAAGGUAUUUAGCCAGAACGGAUCCGACUGUGAGGGACGAAAGCUAGGGGAGUGAAUCGGAUUAGAUAUCCGAGUAGUCCUGGCUGUAAACUCUGCGAGCUAGGUGUUGCGCAAUCUAUGAGAUUGCGCAGUAUCGAAGCGAAGGCGAUAAGCUCGCCGCCUGGGAAGUACGGUCGCAAGGCUGAAACUUAAAGGAAUUGGCGGGGGAGCACUACAAGGGGUGCGGCGUGCGGUUUAAUUUAAUUUUAUAUAGAAAAUUUUAUCAGAAGUGAUGGUAGGAUGAAAGUUAGAUUAAAGGUUUUAUUUGAUGAGUUGAGAGGUGGUGCAUGGCCGCCGUUAGCUCGUGCCGUGAGGUGUCCUGUUAAGUCAGGUAACGAGCAAGACCUGCGUCCACAAUUGUUAAUAGGUGUAUUAGUGAGAUUGAGUAUAUUGUGGAGACUGCCUUGGAAACGAGGAGGAAGGUGCAGGCUACGGUAGGUCUGUAUGCCCUGAAUCUUCUGGGUUAUACGCGCGCAAUAAUGGUAAGGAUAAUGGGACAUGAUUUUGAAAGGAGAAGUUAAGUCUCGAAACCUUAUCUAAGUCUAGAUUGAGGGUUGUAAUUUACCCUCAUGAUGAUGGAAUCCCUAGUAAUCGGACGUUAUUAGCGUCCGGUGAAUAUGUCCCUGCUCUUUGCAUACACCGCCCGUCAAACCACUCGAGCAGGGUCUAGAUGAGGCUUGGUUUUUUGACCAUGUCGAAUCUAGGCUCAGUGAGAAGGGUUAAGUCGUCAUAAGGUA